rnacentral:rRNA from 1 species
GACAGAGGGUGCAAACGUUGUUCGGAAUUACUGGGCGUAAAGCGCGUGUAGGCGGCCCUGCAAGUCGGAUGUGAAAUCCCACGGCUCAACCGUGGAAGUGCAUUCGAAACUGCAGGGCUAGAGUCCUGGAGAGGAAGGUGGAAUGCUUGGUGUAGAGGUGAAAUUCGUAGAUAUCAAGCGGAACACCGGUGGCGAAGGCGGCCUGCUGGGCAGUUUAGCUGACACUGAGGCGCGACAGCGUGGGGAGCAAACAGG